rnacentral:misc_RNA from 1 species
GAUGAAGAACGCAGCGAAAUGCGAUACUUGGUGUGAAUUGCAGAAUCCCGUGAACCAUCGAGUCUUUGAACGCAAGUUGCGCCCGAAGCCAUUAGGCCGAGGGCACGCCUGCCUGGGCGUCACACGUCGUUGCCCCCCCAUCUACUCCUUCGGGAUUGCGGGGGGCGGAUGAUGGCCUCCCGUGCGCCUCGUCGCGCGGUUGGCCUAAAUGCCAAGUCCUCGGCGACGCACGCCACGACAAUCGGUGGUUGCGAAACCUCGGUUGCCCGUCGUGUGCGGUCGUCGCGCAUCGAGGGCUCGAAAAAAUUGCCGGGCUUCGGCUCGACUCUCAACGCGACCCCAGGUCAGGCGGGGUUACCCGCUGAAUUUAAGCAUAUCAAUAAGCGGAGGA